AUCUCGACAUCUUAUACCUGCCACUCAGCAACUGCUGCAGUGAAGUUUGCAUUUUGUGGCUGCUGUGGGGAGAGAGGCCAUCAGGGAGCUCCACUGUCGGUGUGCUGCAAACCGGCAGCCCGAGGCUCAGGGAGCGUGUGGGAUAAAAGGAUGAGAGGGAAGAUCAAAGCGGGAAGCAUGAAAAAGCUCAAAGCACACAAGCAAGAGGCACCUCCCUGACCUCUUCGUACACACACACACACACACACUCUCUUUACCCCGUCUACGCAGCACGGCCUGGCGCCUGCCCCUAUGCUUUUCCCUGCAGCUGCAGAGAAAGGCAAAGAGUAGAGGGCACAUCAUUCAGGCCGUGUGAGCCUCUCUGAUUAUAGUCUGUAACUGCUGGGAACCUGACCUCAACUGAUGCCCCCUACUGGUGCCAGACGUGCAGCACCCACCUGUUUAAUGUCACUCAUCAAACUUGAAGGCACUGGAUGAAAAAUGCGUCAUAUAAAAUUUGAAUCGACGUUUACGAUUCAGUAGGGGAGAGUAUUAGGAAAAACUUUAUUUCAGUAUCAAUUUUUUUUUUUAAAUUGAUAGUACAUCAAAGCCCAUAAAAACGACUUUUCCACUGUUUUUUUAUUUUCUAUUCUCCUGGUAAAAGAAUAAAACCAAAGGAGUGAAAUAACACCAGCAGAGGACAUUCCUCUCUGAACUAUUACUUGCUGUGAAAUGCAGCACUGGAUCUUUGGCUGCUUGGGUUCUCUACCUCUCUGUGGCUCCUUCGGCUUCUUGAAACUUAAUGUCCAACAGAAAUGCAAAAGCCAACUUUUAUCUUAAAAGGCUCAUUUGGACCAGCAGCAGGCCUCUUAGGUAAGAUGCUUGUGAUAUUUUCUCCAUUUUGAUACAAGAAAUGAUACAAUGUUUGCCUAUGUCCUGGAUUCACAUAACUAUGAUGACUAUUAAAGGUGCUGAAUGUAGUUGCUAACCGGCCUUCUUCUGAGGACACUGAGGUCUUUUAGAGUGCAGGAUGUGCUCCUAAACACCUUCUUUGAUUCUGGUGUGGCAUCAGCCUUCUUCUAUGGAGCUGUCUGUUGGAGCAGUGGCCUAUCUGUUGCUGAGAGAAUGCGGCUGCGUAAGCUGAUCAGGAAGGCCACCUCUGUGAUUGGAUGCCCUCUGGACUCAGUGCAUGAGGUGGGAAAAACAAAGGACCCUAACUAAAUUAACAUCUCUGUGGGAUGUUUCCCAUCCCAUGCCUGAAGCUGUUGCAGAACUCGAAAGCUCCUUCGGUGACAAACUGCUGCACCCUAAACGCACCAGGGAGCGUUAUCACAAAUCCUUCCUCCCAACAGCUAUUAGACAUUAUAACCAUCGCUGUUCCCAACGACCUCAAUAAGUUGUUACAUUUGUGCAGUUUUUGCACAGUUUCUGUCUUAGUCAGUUAAAUAAGUUGCUGCUUUAAUUUUGCACAUCUCUGGUGUUGCUGCUAUUUUUCACAUAUCCAUUACUGUAAAAAAUUUCACAGCUGCAUAUUGUUUUUUUAUUCUCCAGGUACAUAGUAUUAUAUUGUAAAACACUUUGCAGCAUAAUACUGUAUUUGUAUUAAUUCCCUAUCUGUCAUUUUUAUACAGUUUUUGUACAAUGUGUGACCACUUCUACUUGUCAGUGACUGCUAUCUGGACAACUGUCAGAUAAACUUUUCUCUUAGUGGCUGGCUUUACUCUUCACAUUUGAAGAGAAUUAAACACUAUAGAGGUAUCCCCAUGUGCCUGAUAAAUCUAUGUAACAUAACCUUUGUCUUUUAGGAUAUACUUUUAUUGGGGCUUUUAAUGUUCUGAUGGACAGCCAGAUUAACACAAAGUCUCAUCGAGUUAAGCACUAUACAUU